rnacentral:rRNA from 1 species
UACGUAGGGGGCGAGCGUUAUCCAGAUUUACUGGGCGUAAAGCGCGUGUAGGCGGCUGGUUAGGUGUGAUGUGAAAUCCCGGGACUCAACCCCGGAACUGCAUUUGAAACUUCAUUUCUAGAGGGAUGGCGGAGAAAACGGAAUUCCACAAGUAGCGGUGAAAUGCGUAGAUAUGUGGAAGAACACCAGUGGCGAAGGCGGUUUUCUAGCUUUCUCCUGACGCUGAGGCGCGAAAGCAAGGGGAGCAAACAGG